ACCCGCCAGCCAAUCAGAUCGCAGAACGCCUGCGACGCGGAAACGAUCACGUAGGCGCGCUUCUUCUUUUGUGUGUGGGGACGCCUGGACGCGUUGAAACACGUCGAAACGGGUACAGGGACGCGGUGAAGGUUUCACAAACGGGCCACCUUGUCCUUUGUCUACCAAAUAACGUCCUUCGGACCUCGUAAAGGCAACCGGAGUAUAUAGAAGUAUACGUUAAAACGUUUCAAACUUUCUGAUCGGCGAUCACCUGUAUGGCGUGGCCCUCGGGAUUAAUUCCCCAUGAAAAAUAUUUGAUACGCAUUUUUGUAAUUUUUCGUUACUGUAGUAUAGUGACGGGAACUGUAUACGAAGCUAUACAAUCGUACUGGAAAUGUCGAGAGGCGCAAUUCUCGACCUUUCGACGAGUUUUGACCUGCUCGAGGUGAAAGACAUCCAGCGGUUCGUACUUCGGCUUAUUUUCCUCUACCCUGACUUAUCUUGCCCCAAAGUAUUUGGGAAAUGAUUAACCUGGGUCAAAUCGGCUUUCGAAAGCCGCGAAGAUCGAGCACGAACGUCACUCGGAAACCCGGUUAAACGUCGGAUAGGCGAGUGGAGAUCGGAUCGAGUACCCAGUCGUCUAGACCCAUUGCGUAACGUUUCAUUGAUCUCUGACGCAACCGGGAAGAGGGGCUAGAGUGUGGAGCAAACACAGAAGAAUCUCCGACAGGAUCUUCGAGAGUGGGAGCACGUGGUUCGACGUUGAAUCGGAUUUGCAGUCCAUGCACGAGAAACGUGACGGAGAACGCGGAGGAAUCGAGAUGUACCCUCUACAAUCCACCCAAUGUUCUUUAGGUACUAUCAGGAACUCGGUAGAGUUUCGCGCCAAAUACAUUUAAAAGCCUACGCGAACGGCACCGAAUACUUUACGCUAAAAUUCGGCCAUUCGGAUUAACGGUGGCAAACUGCUUCGUGGAGGCAUCGUACCCUGCGCUUCCUUAAACCGUUUACACCGAUGGGGUUAAUCCUACCCUCUUCUUCGGAGCGCAUAAACUCGCCCCUCGCGUUUAGGCAUUUUCCAGGGUUGGGUACUCUCACGUUUAUCCACAUUUUUCACGUAUAUUAUGUAGUUCACGAAGUUUACCGUUGAAAAUCAUAGGAAAGUAGUAAAUUAUGUUUCCAAUGUGGAGGAUGCAGCAGAUGCAUGAUGUACGGCAUCCGCUAGGUUAUACACAUGUUUUAGCACAUAUGUUAACACGUGAAUAUUUUUAUUGAAUAGUACAUUAAGUUGGCGUUUGCGUUCAACUUCAUACCGUUUAAUAUCAAAUUUCUAACUGGAUUUAUUAUUCUCUUAUUUGAAAUCGAAGGGCGUAAUAUACUUCAGGCUCGUAUAGAAAAUUAGGGACGUAUUGUAUGUUGUAAUAUACGCGUAGAAAACUACGGG